GGGAGGGGGCGCAGGCGGUGGGGAAAUCACACCGCGACGUCACGCGGAGCCGCAGCCAUGAAGACGCAGCGGCGCGGGAGAGCUGAGCGCGAGAACUGCUGAGAGAGCGGAGCCGCUGCUCGCGCGCUGAAUAUUCGCACAUUGACGGCCAGGAGUCCAGCGUCGAGGUCUGAAUCUGAGCCUGUCACUUCCCCCUGUGGUUGAAAAAAAAGGAUGGUUGGCCGGAGGGGUUGGCUGUUAUCUUUGGUUAUCUAGCUGUAUGAGUGAUGUACAUUCUUCAUAAAGCUAGAUAACCGAAAGUAACAAGAAUCCCAUUACACACCUGAAAGGCACUGCCCACUCAGCACUCCACGCUCCGCCCCCUCACUCUUCUCAACUUAAGACAGGAGCCAAGAAACAAAAUAGCCUCUAGAAGGAAGACAAACGACCACCAAUCCUUCUCUCUCUCUCUGAAAGGGGGAAGGAAGACAUGGAGGAUGUAAAGGAGGAGGGGUGUGUUGGUGUUGAAGCUGCUCACCCUCCAUGCGCCCCAAUGAUGCGUCUCUUCUCUCUGCUCUCCACCCCUCCUCUCCCUGCCUGCCCCUUCCUCCUAUCACGAGCGGCAGCCCAUGCUUCGCCACCAUCUUAGAACACGCUGGCAUGAAAUGGAAGAGGGAGGAGGAACGAGCAGGUGUUGGAGGAAUAACAUAGAAGAUAAGAAUGAAUGAUAUGCAAACAUGGAUGACAAGUCAAUAUCGGCUGAUGAAGCACUUCAACUGAACUCAGAUGUCUGCACCCUUUUAAUGUGUGCCCCAACAUUUUGACAUUACAGCACUUUAAAAGGAUACUUUGUUAUUCUUGCGCUUAAUUGAUAUUUUAGCAAUCAUUUUCUUUUUUUUUAUUUUUUGUAAAAGUCUUUUUAGUCUAACAUUCUAUCAUUAGCUAUGCAUACUCCACCUGCAGUACAGGACAAGUAUUGAACAGUAAAAUACAGGAAAAAAUGACAAGGUCACUCAGGUGAAUCUACUAGCGAUUGUAUUGCAUCUUUUGUUUGUGGAAAUUUAUGGACCUGGGUUGGAAUGAAAAUCACAUAUAAUGCUACAUGUAUUUGGUUUUUAGUACCAGUAGAUCUUCUGGGGAUUAAAUGAGAAGGCCACCAUAAUGUAUAACUGUCUAGGAUUCUAAUGUGAAUUCAACUCACAUUAUUUUCAGAGAGAAGUUUAGAGGUCAAACACUUGUGUGUUUCAGAUAAAAAGAAAGAUCUUUUAAAAUGUAUUUAACCUAGGUCAAGACAAUCAGCUAGUCUAAUCUGCCUAUACAGACUCUUAUGAGCCAAUUCAAUCUUUAGCAUAGAGCACUUCACACAUUCAUAUAAGUUCAUUUUCUCUCUUUUGCUUUCUCUUCUGUUUUGUUUGAUGUUACAGGCAAAGCACUAUGAUAGAAAUUACACCACUAUGCUCUGGGCAUAACAUCAUUGUAUCCCUCUGUUAUAGCUGAUCAUGAAGUCAUGUUUAAAGUGGAUGGCUAAACAAUAAUUUCCACACACCACAGUCUGUUCUAUGGAUGAUUUAGAGCUUGUGAUUUGAGUGUAUGAAUGUGAGACCCACGGCCGGCAGCAGUGAAGGGUACUGCACUGUGAUUGAACAGCUCUGUGUGUUGACAGUUACACAUUUGGUGUAGAGAGAGCUGUUGUCUUUAUUCUCUAUGCAAUUGCGUCAGACUUGCAAUCAACAAGCAGCAGUGUAGGAUCGUUGCAGAAUCUCCACUAUUCAAAUUACACAACAAUAUUGUAGACAAAAAUAAUGAUACAGCAUUAAUAGUAGACAGAGGAAAUAUCUUUACAUGGAUCAAAUUGAGUUACAGAGUGGAUUUCAUUAUUAUUAUUAUUAUUUUAUUUAUUUUUUAUUUAAAUAACUAAGCUGAACAAUCAUCAGAAUGAAAAUCACUUGCACUAUGAGAGAUACAUCUUUACUAGCAUUUAAUAUACUUAGCAAAUGACUAAUCAGUGAGCACUAACUUUGAUUUCUUUUUUGGUUUUGUUUUUUGGUUGAGACUAACAUUUUAUUUCUUUGUAACUAUUCAUUUAUUUCUUCUCUUUCUAUCAUCUAAACACUGUUUAGUAGUUUUUGAGUGCUUACUUUUCUAAUCAAGCUUGGGCAGAGGCAAAUAUGUGUAUUUUAAUUGUCUAUGCAAAUUUGUUAGCAUUUUAUUAGGAAUUGUGAGAACUGUGCAAUCUAUUUUUGAGACCCACUUUGUUGUCAUGGACAUUAAUGUCCUUAAAAUUGUUUUGAAGGCAAUCAGCAUUUCAGUUAACCUUGUAUAACUAAUGCAGGUGACUAAUAUUUUUAAAAAUAUAAAUGUAAAAAUAGAACUAUUAGUACAAUGAAUGAAGAGUAUUUACUAUGCAAUUUAUGUAAAUCUGGAUAAUGUAUGCAUUUUUUAUGAGUUUUUGACUUGAUAAAAAAAAUAUUUUUGACUGAUUGCAAUGUUAAAAAUGUGUGAAAAAAUGAUCUAUGCAAAUAUUUUUCUGUCCUGCUGGUGUGAAAUGUAGGCUAUUUUUCUUUUCAUUAAGACUGAUGUGAUUAACUUGCUCCUACAGGCUACCAUUUGUGCCUUAAACUAUUUUGUCCUGUUAUGGAUACUAAUAAAAGGUUUACAUUGAAAA